AGAGGAACUGACAGUAGUAACAAGGUUUCCGUACGGAACAUGCGGAAGGAUCAUUAAUGAUUGCGAUUGGUUACCUCUGGUGGAAGUCUCGCGAGCAAGUGCAUUUUGGUGGCUUUCAUCCAGAAGGAUCCUUGAAGACCUUUGGCCUUUUGCUCGCUUUGUCUGGCAGAGGAUUUUUACACACACACUGGAAUGUAAGGAAAACGUUUGUCGUGCGCAAGCACUAAUGUACAACUUUCAACAGAGGAUCUCUAGGUUCUAGCAUUGUUGUAGAAGUCAGAGAAAUGAGAUAAAUAAUUUGAACAGCGGAAUUCAGGGAUUCAUCGAAUAUGAAGACGCCCCUGGCACCCUUUAAAUUAUGAAGGGUAAGAAUUCAGAGUGUCAUUGUACUCUCACACUCUCUGAUCCCCUGAUUCGGGGAGCGGGCACUUGGGUGUUUGCGUCCUUUCGUUGUGCCUCAUCUCAAAUGUAUUAGUGCACCUCUUGGUUGGACAUACUAAGUCGGGAUAAGUAUCUUCGCCGGCCCCUCGUGAGAGGGUGUCUGAUUGAGAAGUCCGUGCUUUCACUCCGUAUUACGCCCACAUUUGCCAACUUGACCUCAAAUCGAGUAGGGAUACCCGCUGAACUUAAGCAUAUCAAUAAGCGGAGGAAA
rnacentral:rRNA from 1 species